AAAGUACUCCCUCCGUCCCAAAAUUCUUGUCUNCAAAAUUCUUGUCUUAGAUUUGUCUAGAUACGGAUGUAUCAAGUCACAUUUUAGUAUUAGAUACAUCCGUAUCUAGACAAAUCUAAGACAAGAAAUUUGGGACAGAGGGAGUAGUUG
rnacentral:pre_miRNA from 1 species